CUCCCCUCCAACACUGCUCUCAUCACCUAUAUACUCUUCUCUCUGCCCGUCUCUGCUUCCCCCCCCUUCCCCCCCCCCUUUUCUCCCGGCCGACGGAGCUGAAGGGGCGGGGGUUCCUUCCUUGGAGUGUUUCUAGAGCUCGGAGGCUGCUGGUAGGGGGGCACCACUUUCAGAUAAAAACAUAGACCUGAAUGGCAUCAUCCAGUAUCCAAGGAAACCAUGUUCUCUAAACAUGAAUAUGCCUUUGGGGGAAGACAGAAGAACAUGGAAGCCAUGUGAAAAAAACGGAUCCUAAGGCAGUUUUGAACAUCUGGAGGCCUGAUUUAUUGGAGAUUGCAAAUGUACAGUGUAACAUAGCUGUGGAGAGCGAGAAGAUCAGGAUUGUCAAUGCUGUCAUUGCUUUUACUGGAAUCCCCAGCACGAAUUGAAGGUUUGACCAGAGACAAAGAAGCAAAUGCUAUCAAUUAACAUUCACAUGUGGUAGGUCUCACUUUGCCACCUAGGCUGGAUGCAAUGCAACGGUAUGUUGAUCUUGGUUCACUGCAGCCUCAACCUCCUGAGCUCAUGUGAUCCUCCCACCUCAGUCCCCCACGUCGCUUGGAUUACAGGCCUGUGCCACCACACCUGGCUAACUUUUUUUGUAAUUUUUGUAGAGACAGGGUCUCACUAUGUUUCCCAUGCUGGUCUUUAAUGCCUGAGCUCAAGCCAUCCGCCUGCCUCGGCCUCCCAAAUUGCUGGGAUUACAGGCAUGAGCCACCAUGCCCAGCCUAAUUCUUCUAAAUCUUAUCCUAGUAAUUAAGCCAGAAUUUUUCUCUGCCAAGACCAAUAGAUGGACCAAGAAGUACUCAUCCUUGUAAACUUUCUUUGGAUAAAUUGCUUACAUAUAAUAAAUUCAGAGUUAAGUAAUAAAAAUAAUGAACUACUGUCUUG
rnacentral:lncRNA from 1 species